UACGUAGGGUGCAAGCGUUGUCCGGAAUUAUUGGGCGUAAAGAGCUCGUAGGCGGUUCGUCGCGUCGGCUGUGAAAUCCCGAGGCUCAACCUCGGGUCUGCAGUCGAUACGGGCGGACUGGAGUUCGGCAGGGGAGACUGGAAUUCCUGGUGUAGCGGUGAAAUGCGCAGAUAUCAGGAGGAACACCCGUGGCGAAAGCGGCUCUCUGGGACGGUACUGACGCUGAGACGCGAAAGCGUGGGGAGCAAACAGG
rnacentral:rRNA from 1 species